rnacentral:rRNA from 1 species
UGCGUAGGGUGCAAGCGUUGUCCGGAAUUAUUGGGCGUAAAGAGCUCGUAGGCGGUUCGUCGCGUCGGCUGUGAAAUCCCGAGGCUCAACCUCGGGUCUGCAGUCGAUACGGGCGGACUGGAGUUCGGCAGGGGAGACUGGAAUUCCUGGUGUAGCGGUGAAAUGCGCAGAUAUCAGGAGGAACACCGGUGGCGAAGGCGGGUCUCUGGGCCGAUACUGACGCUGAGGAGCGAAAGCGUGGGGAGCGAACAGG